UUCCAGCUCCAGUAGCGUAUAUUAAAGUUGUUGCAGUUAAAAAGCUCGUAGUUGAACUUCUGUGGCGUGGCUGCGCGUAGCAAUACGUGCGGCCUGGCCACAUCCUCCUGAGGAGCUCGUCUUCAUUCACUUGUGGGCGAGUGUUCAGGAACUUUACCUUGAGAAAAUUAGAGUGUUCCAGGCAGGCGCAGCCUGAAUAGUGCAGCAUGGAAUAAUACAAGAGGACUUGGCUCCAGUUGUUGGUGUAUGG
rnacentral:rRNA from 1 species